UACGUAGGGUGCGAGCGUUGUCCGGAAUUAUUGGGCGUAAAGAGCUCGUAGGCGGUCUGUCGCGUCGGUCGUGAAAACUUGGGGCUUAACCCUGAGCUUGCGGUCGAUACGGGCAUGACUGGAGUUCGGCAGGGGAGACUGGAAUUCCUGGUGUAGCGGUGAAAUGCGUAGAGAUCGGGAGGAAGGCCGGUGGCGAAGGCGGCGCUCUGGAACGUUUCUGACGCUGAGGCUCGAAAGCGUGGGGAGCAAACAGG
rnacentral:rRNA from 1 species